GUUUCUAGGGUGUAACUGCACAUUAGAUUUUCAUUCUAAAAGAAUAAAGCUAUUUAUUAGAAAUA
rnacentral:tRNA from 1 species